rnacentral:rRNA from 1 species
ACUCCCUAGCGGGAGGCAGCAGUGGGGGAAUUAUUGCACCAAUGGGGGGUAAACCCCUGAUGCCAGCCAUGCCGCGUGUGUGAAGAAGGUCCUUCGGGUUGUAAAGCACUUUCAGUAGGGAGGAAGGUAGUGUAGUUAACACCUGCAUUAUUUGACGUUACCUACAGAAGAAGCACCGGCUAACUCCGUGCCAGCAGCCGCGGUAAUACGGAGGGUGCGAGCGUUAAUCGGAAUUACUGGGCGUAAAGCGUCUGUAGGCGGC